GAUGAACGCUAUCUACAGGCUUAACACAUGCAAGUCGAGGGGCAGCAUUUUAGUUUGCUUGCAAACUGAAGAUGGCGACCGGCGAACGGGUGAGUAACGCGUGAGGAACCUGCCUCAAAGAGGGGGACAACAGUUGGAAACGACUGCUAAUACCGCAUAAGCCCACGACCCGGCAUCGGGUUGAGGGAAAAGGAGCAAUCCGCUUUGAGAUGGCCUCGCGUCCGAUUAGCUGGUUGGUGAGGUAACGGCCCACCAAGGCGACGAUCGGUAGCCGGACUGAGAGGUUGAACGGCCACAUUGGGACUGAGACACGGCCCAGACUCCUACGGGAGGCAGCAGUGGGGAAUAUUGCACAAUGGGGGAAACCCUGAUGCAGCGACGCCGCGUGGAGGAAGAAGGUCUUCGGAUUGUAAACUCCUGUUGUUGAGGAAGAUAAUGACGGUACUCAACAAGGAAGUGACGGCUAACUACGUGCCAGCAGCCGCGGUAAAACGUAGGUCACAAGCGUUGUCCGGAAUUACUGGGUGUAAAGGGAGCGCAGGCGGGAAGACAAGUUGGAAGUGAAAUCUAUGGGCUCAACCCAUAAACUGCUUUCAAAACUGUUUUUCUUGAGUAGUGCAGAGGUAGGCGGAAUUCCCGGUGUAGCGGUGGAAUGCGUAGAUAUCGGGAGGAACACCAGUGGCGAAGGCGGCCUACUGGGCACCAACUGACGCUGAGGCUCGAAAGUGUGGGUAGCAAACAGG
rnacentral:rRNA from 1 species